CCAGCCUCAAAGACAAUCGAGCAUCCGAUGAUUCGGUUGCGGAAGUGGAUUCCCUGUGGGCAGUGUGUGGGAUGUCACAUGACUGUCAACUGCGGCCAGUGUGCCAACUGCAAGAGUCCAGAGAACCGAAAACGCAUCUGCAGAAUGCGCAAAUGCCUCUGUCCAAUUCGCAAAAGUUCGGAAACCGAAAGUGUCCUUCCAAACAUGCCAGAAAACGAUGUUCCCGAAUUACUGGACGACAGCGCGAGUUUGCAGGUGAUAGUUUUGUCUUUGUGGACUGCAUGCUGUGGAGAAGUAUUUGGACAAGGAAGUAGGUCAUGUGAAAACUCGAAGGAACUUUACACUGAGAUGAGUGCAGGUUACUGGGUCGGAGAAAUCCUCCAUGCUAACAGAAUUUGUGAUAC